UCGACUGUUUACCAAAAACAUAGCCUUAUUAAUACCAAUAUAAGAUGAAACCUGCUCAAUGGCUACGAAUAAAAAAUAACAGUAGUUAAAUAGCCGCGGUAACUCUGACCGUGAUAAAGUAGCAUAAUCACUCGUCAUUUAAUUGGUGACUGGAAUGAAUGGUUACACGAAUCUCUAACUGUCUCAAUAGUAACAUUUAUGAAAUUGGACUGAUAGUGAAGAUACUAUCUACUAAUUGUAAGACGAAAAGACCCUAUCGAGCUUUACUAAAAGCCUAAAUAAAACAAUGCUAAUAAAACUAUAAAGAAAAAAAUUUAGGUUACUUAGUUUGGUUGGGGCGACCACCUCUAAUAAAGUAUCAGAGGAGACCUAAAGGUUAACAAAUAACGUGAAUAGCCUAACUACAUACCUAUCAGUUAACUAGACACUAACAAGUGAGGCAUAAUGACCCGUUGAGUAAAUCUGACAACUCAACGACCACAAAAAAAGUUACCGUAGGGAUAACAGGGUAAUAUUUCUGAAGAGUUCAUAUCGAUAGAAAUGUUUGCCACCUCGAUGUUGAAUUGUGAUAUCCUAAAGGUGCAGCAGCUUUUAAGGGUUGGUCUGUUCGACCAUUAAAAUCUUACAUGAUUUGAGUUCAUUCCGU
rnacentral:rRNA from 1 species